GGGCACGCGUCCUCUCCCCACCUCCGAAACCUCAGUGUUCUCCUGUGAGGCGGGGAUGGGGUUACCUCGAAAGGCCGUGUGGAGGAGGAAGAGGAUGAAGGGGCUGCGGCCUUCUCCUUGGUCCCCCAUCACAUUCCAGAACCUUAGCAAUCCAGAGGCAUGAGGAGCAAUUAAGGUCAGGGUCUCGGGUGGCUAGAGCCCAUCCUGGUGGAAGCCCGCCCGCCCCCCUGGACAGGACGCGGUUCAUGGUGGGGCACUCUCACCGACACCAGCCCACAUUCAGACGGGGACAGCGCAGACACGCUGAUGAACCUGUCCGUCUUUGGAAUGUGGGAGGAAAACAGAAUCCCCGGAGAAAACCCACAGCCAUGGAGACAACAUGCAAACCACACACCGGCUGUGGCCUUGGCCAGGAAUCAAUUUUUUAUUUUCUCAUCAAUGUUAUAAUGAAACAACAUUAUUUGAGGACCUGCUGUAUGUGUGUGCAUGUCUACUGUGUAUGUCUGUACGUACACAUUAUAUACAUACACACACACAAAUAUGGUAUCAACUGUUGUUUCAGUCAAUGGGCUGACUCUUUUUAAAAGAUUUUAUUUAUUUGUUUGUUUGUUUGUUUGUUUGUUUGUCUGUUUCUAGA